CCAGGUUCCUCAAGUGUGUGCUGCUCCCUUCUUGUCCCUGUUUGGGGACUGAUAGGGCUUUUGACUUGGAUGUUGCACAGAGUAACAGCAUUCAAUUCACCAUAUAAUCCUUGCAAUAUGGCUUUAGAAGCUGGAUAUGGUAGUUGCCAUGGAUUUCUCAUCAUCCCAGUAAAGCGGUUUCAUUUCUUCAGCUCCAAAUUGACAAGGAAGAAAACAGAAUAACUGGAGCUACCAAUUUGAGAACUGCUUCACAUCACAGUGGGAUUUCCCCUUCUACAGAACUAUGACAACCAAC